CCUACGGGGGGCAGCAGUGAGGAAUAUUGGUCAAUGGACGAGAGUCUGAACCAGCCAAGUAGCGUGAAGGAUGACUGCCCUAUGGGUUGUAAACCUCUUUUAUCUGGGAGCAAAACAGGGCACGCAUACCCUCUUGUGAGUACCAUAAGAAAAAGCAUCGGCUAACUCCGUGCCAGCAGCCGCGGUAAUACGGAGGAUGCGAGCGUUAUCCGGAUUUAUUGGGUUUAAAGGGUGCGGAGGGGGAUUGUCAAGUCAGUGGGUAAAAUUUGGGGCUCAACCGUAUAAUUGCAGUUGAAACUGGAAUUCUUGAGUGCACUAGAGGUGGGCGGAAUGCGUGGUGUAGCGGUGAAAUGCAUAGAUAUCACGAAGAACUCCGAUUGCGAAGGCAGCACACCGGCGUGCAACUGACGCUGAUGCACGAAAGUGUGGGUAUCGAACAGGAUUAGAUACCCGGGUAGUC
rnacentral:rRNA from 1 species